AUACGUAGGUGACAAGCGUUAUCCGGAUUUACUGGGCGUAAAGGGCGUGUAGGCGGUCUUGCAAGUCAGAAGUGAAAUUCCUGAGCUCGACUCGGGCGCUGCUUCUGAAACUGCAGGACUUGAGUGCUGGAGGGGAUAGCGGAAUUCCUAGUGGAGCGGUAAAAUGCGCAGAUAUUAGGAAGAACACCGGUGGCGAAGGCGGCUAUCUGGACAGUAACUGACGCUGAGGCGCGAAAGCGUGGGGAGCAAACAGGAUUAGAUACCCCGGUAGUCCUGGCAGUAAACGAUGUAUGCUGGGUGUGAGACUAGCGAUAGUUUCGUGCCGAAGUUAACGCGAUAAGCAUACCGCCUGGGGAGUACGGUCGCAAGACUGAAACUUAAAGGAAUUGGCGGGG
rnacentral:rRNA from 1 species